CAAACAUGAACGGGCAUUUUAAUGGGUAGCUUUCUUUCAGGGGAUCAUCCUCACAGAUGCGGCUUCAGGACACCAGGUUUAAGGUCCAAACAGUGCAUUUAUUCGCACACCAGCAAAAGCAGAACAACAAAACAAUAAAACACUCGCCCUUC